UUCUAAUAGAAAUAAUUGUUAGUAAAAUCUGCUCCAUGAUUUAAAUAGCCGCAGUCACCUGUGCUAAGGUAGCAUAAUCACUUGUCUUAUAAUUCAAGAAUAGAAUGAAAGAUUUAACAUUUCAAUUAUUCUCUCAAACUUAAUUAUUUAAAUUAUUCUAAAUGUAAAAAAACACUUAUACAAUAGACAGACGACAAGACCCUAUUGAACUUCACUAAAGUUUAACUGGGGAAGUUAAUCAAUUUAAAUUUUAAUUAUCAAAUUUAACAAAAGAUCUAUUCAAUAUAUUCAUAUGAUCAAGUUACCAUAGGGAUAACAGCGUAAUAUUAUUCUAUAGAUCUUAUAUAAAAUAACGAUUGCGACCUCGAUGUUGAAUAUUAUUCUAUUACAAUGUAACAAUUUAAUAAGAAGGUCUGUUCGACCUUUAAUUAAUUACA
rnacentral:rRNA from 1 species